AUUGAACGCUGGCGGCAUGCUUUACACAUGCAAGUCGAACGGCAGCGCGGGCUUCGGCCUGGCGGCGAGUGGCGAACGGGUGAGUAAUGCAUCGGAACGUGCCCAGUAGUGGGGGAUAGCCCGGCGAAAGCCGGAUUAAUACCGCAUACGACCUGAGGGUGAAAGCGGGGGAGCGAAAGGCCUCGCGCUAUUGUAGCGGCCGAUGUCGGAUUGGCUAGUUGGUGGGGUAAAGGCUUACCAAGGCGACGAUCCGUAGCUGGUCUGAGAGGACGACCAGCCACACUGGGACUGAGACACGGCCCAGACUCCUACGGGAGGCAGCAGUGGGGAAUUUUGGACAAUGGGGGCAACCCUGGUCCAGCCAUGCCGCGUGCGGGAAGAAGGCCUUCGGGUUGUAAACCGCUUUUGUUCGGGAAGAAAUCCUCUGGGCUAAUACCCCGGGGGGAUGACGGUACCGGAAGAAUAAGCACCGGCUAACUACGUG
rnacentral:rRNA from 1 species